GAGCCACGUCUUUUUAGUUGCCAGCAAGAUAAUUUCAUGCCGGAUGUCGUCAUCGGAUGCAGAUGCUGGUUAGCAGGAGAACCGGCUUUCACCUCGUCGGAAUUAUUGCCGUAGCUGGUGCUGUCGUUAUUGGAUUUGAAGCACCACGCGCUGUUCGGCUGGAGCCCUAAUUCCAUCUGUUUUAUCGCACGCCACGGGCCAUUCUGACCAGGCCUUGAGCCGCAACCAGCGAGAGUCCUAAGCUUAGCUUCAAGUACCGAAGCUGAAAUGGCAGCCGGAAGAAAAUACCAUGAAACGAGGAUUUCCGCUAGUAAUAACCUGGAUUGGGAAAUUGCCGUUGGUGCGAGGGAAAUGUUAUUGUUGCAGUUCUCUUGUGGGUUACGUUCGCUGUAUUUCCCGGCAGUGUGUCCAGGAAUAGCACCGCCAAUUUGUCGCAAAUAGUAAACGCCGCAAGCCAGAGUUUUUGUUCGACGGUUCUGCGCCUUCACCGUUGGUGACUAAAAUUGUUUGCUGCCAAGACCAACCGAAUGCAGCAGAAUCGACAAACAGCCAAGAAAAGACAUCAAACAAACGGGACCUUCGACUGUGACCUGCAGCCUGCACGAAGCUGUAGCAGUUUAUCAGUUCGAUAGCAAAGCGGACUUCAUCUUGGUGACCACGAGCGAGUGCGUGAUUCCCGAGAUGAUCAACGCGAGCGGUAGGUUCGCGUGAGGAUGUUUUCAAGCAAGCAUAAUUGACCAUACAGGUGAGCUCCCAAAAUGUAGGCAACUUCCUCUGGUCAGCGACAAGAUCACCGUCAAGCUGAUCUUCGCUCAUUUUCACUCGGUCAGUCGAUGACGUAUUAAGUCAAAAUGUUCAGCAUUUUUGUAUUACCCAAUCUCACCCCAGACCUAAUGUCACCCCUGAUGACGGUAUACAAAACCUAUUCACAAUUGACUCUAUAAAUAUAUUAAAUAGGAAAGGUUUCGCGCUGUUUCCGCAAAUUUGCAGUUACCAACUAGAUUUCGAGUGGAAACAUUCGCUGAACCAGCGGAUUUUUCGCCGAAACCAGUAGAAUAAUCUCCUGGUUGGUUUUGGUACGAGCUGCUGCCGCCGGAAAAAAAAAC